rnacentral:rRNA from 1 species
UACGUAGGGUGCAAGCGUUGUCCGGAUUUACUGGGCGUAAAGAGCGCGCAGGCGGUCGUUCAAGUCGCGUGUGGAAGCCCCCGGCUCAACUGGGGAGGGUCACGCGAUACUGAUCGACUCGAAGGCAGGAGAGGGAAGUGGAAUCCCGGUGUAGUGGUGAAAUGCGUAGAUAUCGGGAGGAACACCAGUGGCGAAGGCGACUUCCUGGCCUGUUCUUGACGCUGAGGCGCGAAAGCUAGGGGAGCAAACGGG